AACCAGUUUUUUUUGGUAGUUCUUCUUUAAUUACUCUUAUUUUGUCGUAACUUUCCAAAACCCAAGAGAAUUUUUCCAUUUAUUGUCAUAUUUUCUGUACUUUUUAUACGUACUAUUUCUUCUACGUUCUUUUCAUAGGUACUUCUGUGUACUCUAAAGUGCAUUUAAAUCUUGCUUUAUUACUUAUUUUCAAUUACUUUUUACUUAUUCUUAUAUUUCCUAGUUGUUUUCAUAUAUUUAUUACCCAUUUUGUACAACUACCAAAAAUUUUGUUGUUUCCGUCGAACUUUCUGUUCGGAUGGUAUAUACUACUUUACUUGUAUAGUAAAGACUAGGACAAUUUUCAAGUUCUUUUCUUUCAUUGAGGUAUUUUAUUCUUAUUCUUCUUCUUUACGUAUUCAGAAUAUUAAUUUAAAUCAUUCUUCUUCUUCUUCUUGUGUUGGAUCUCAAAAAAAUUUUUGUUCGUAAAGCAUGAUAUUUUACAUUUUUCAAUUUUUUGCAUUAUUGCACUUAUAUUAAUUAUGAUAAACAUUAUAUUUAACAUCUUUUUUAUUUAACAAUGCCCUAUUUAUCUAUAUAUUAUUGUUUUAUUAUUUUAUUUUGGGUGUUGUACUGAUUUUUGAUACAGAUUAGCAUGAAAGCCUCAUCCGGCACUUAUAAGUUGUGUAUGGCUUAUAUAUAGCUGCAUAGACACCUAGUGUUUUUUUUUCCUAGGGUACAUAUAAGUUAUCCAUAGGGUUGGGCCAGAUCUAUUGAGUCUGAGUUCCGUUUUUUUGGUCUUAAUGACUGUUGAUAUACAGUUUAAUGCUGUAUAUUAUUUUUAGGAUGAUGUCUUUUAUAAAUUUUCUCUUUUGAAGUUAAAAUAAUUCUAUGCAUCUCUACUCUUCAUGAGCCUCUGGUGUAGAAUUGUGGCGCUUUGAAGUAUGAUUGUAGUUUAGCUACUAGCAUUUGUUAUUUUCCAUCUUUGCAAAUCAUAUUUAUGCAUUUUUAUACAUAUAUUUUGUUCUUUAGUGUAGAUCCCUGGUAUGCAUUUGAUGGAAGUAGCAUUUGCAUUAUGUAUCAUUAUCUCUCUCUCUCUCUUUAUUAACUUAUUGGUUAAGUCUUUUAGGACUGGUUUUAUGCAGUUUUUUCAAACCCUUUGGUGUAGAACUUUGUCUUAUUUGGCUUUCCAUAUAGUUGGUACCUAUUUUUUUUUAAUGGUUUAUCUAUAGUUGCACUUGCAUUUCUUUUUAUUAUAUUAUAUUUAUAUUAUCUUUAUCUACUUAUAUGCUUUUACUUACCUUAUCAUAUUGAUUAUUAUAUUAUUACCUUACUUUAGGUACUUGUUAUCCGAGUACUUGUUAUUUUGUUCGAGAUUCAGUUGUUGUUAGUAGCUCCAAUAGCUAUUUAUUUUAUAUAGGAUGUGAUAUCCCUUAUAUUUACUUAAAUUUGGUUAUAUGCCUUUUAUUUUAUAUAAAUACCAGAAUAUUUGCAAUGCAAUUCAUUUUUAAUAUGUCUACAUUAUUUGACUAUGGUUACUUACUUACUUUUGGAUUCUUAGUAAAAUUUAAUUAUUACUUACACUUUAUACUACAUGUCUUUAUAAUUUUGAAUUAAUUUCAUACUUUUUAAAGUACAUUUAUUUUUAUCCAGAGAUAGAUAUUCUCUGAUGUCAUUUAUUUAUAAUGAAUAAAUAUUUUAUAGUGUGAUGAAUACUACAAUUCAUUGGGUAAUAUUUUUAUUUUCCCCAGAGUAACAUCUGAAAAUUAUUUUGGUACUUUAAAAUUUUUUAUGAUUAAUAAUUUAAAUUAACUAUAUACAUUGACUUAAUAAUUACUUUAUUAUGAGUAUUUAUUUUUGAUCUGUUUUGAACGAUUACUACUGCAUAUAUUUAUUUCUGGUUAGAACUUUCGUUUUCUUGUUUUCCUUGAGAAAAAUUUCUCACCUGUGUUCGAAAUUUUUCUGAUGAGUGGAGGGAGUGUGUAACAUUCCUGUUUUCUUUGGGAAAAAUUUCUCAUGUGUGUUCAAAAUUUUUCUGAUGGGUGAGAGGAGUGUGUAACGUUACAAACGUCACAUCUUUGAUAUUUUGUUUUUAAAUAAUUAUUUUACCUUAUUUCCUUUAAUAUUUCAUUAAUAAUUAUCUUCUUCUAAUUGGUUUACCCAUUUCCCCCUUUAAAAAUCGGUUGGCGCUCAUUUAUUAUCCUCUUUUAUUAUCUUCUAUUUAAUAUAUCUCUUUCAUUUAAAUCAUCAUACUGAACAUACCUCGUAUAUUCAUACUCUCCAAAUAUCUGUAUUUUCAAUACGGAACAUGCCGCUACUUCAUAGUACUUGGUUGUCAUUUUAAAUGUCGUUUUCAAUGACAGUGUCACUUCAUCGACUUGACCCCCUUCUCCCUGACAUACACUGGAAGGGAAAAAUUAAUCCUUAAAAAGGCAUGUAAUUCGAAAAAUAAAUCAUUUCUAUUUCAACAAAUCAUCUUCCUCUUGGGUUUUUUGGAAAGAAAUCACUUUUCUCCCUUUGGGAGCUUCAAGCCAUCCACACCGGUGAUGGAACUAAGGCUGACACAAUGGGGACUUUGACAUCCAGACUCCAGCAUCCAACACCUUUAGCUGCAGGGGCCUAGGGCCGAAGAUCUGCCCAGGCCUACGAGAAGUCUACAACAGCAAUACCAUACGACAUCAAGAAGAUACCAUCAGCUACCAAAAGCCAUAAGUAUAAUCCAGAAUUGUUAGUUUUUGGCAAGAAUUUAAAUACAUUUGUUAAUGCAAUUUACUAAGUCAUUUUAUUUAUUAUAUCUUUAUGAACAAUAAACAUGAUUAGUUAAAAACUA